GUUAAGUGUAUCCAUGAGUUUUCGUGUCCAACUUUAAUUGUUUGUCUUAUUUAAAAUUUUUUAUAAUUAGUAUUUUUAUUGUUAUGAGAUGAUACUUAUAUUUUUAUUUUUUUAAUUUUUUUUGAAAUAAAACAGACGAUUAAAAUUAGGCAUGAAAAAUCAUUGCUGCACUUUAA
rfam:Oryza glumipatula chromosome 9, whole genome shotgun sequence.